CUCCUCAUCCUCAGCUCAUGUCUCUGUGCAGCAACAUUUGUAGUGAAUGUGACCCAGAGCAGCUAUGAGGCAGAGGAGAACCACAGCAUCACUCUGGAGUGGACCUUCACCACCAGGACUCAGGGAAACUGGAAGAAUCUGUUCAUCUUCUGUGAAUUUAGAACCUCAGUGAAGAGCGGGGUAAUAUAUGUUCAUCAUGAAGGUGUUGAGUUUCCAGAUUCUCAGGAUGAUCAGUUUUCAGGACGAGUCCAGAGUGACAAAGACGUCCUCAGAGAAGGACGAAUCAGACUCCAUGUGUCCAGACUGAGGACUGAAGACUCUGGUCUGUAUCAGUGUGACGUGAAAACUGAAGAUGGAUUCAACUCUGGAAGAUGUCGACUCAACGUUUCUGCAGCUGCUGAUCAGAUCCAAACUCAGAGACCAACUUUGACUCCAGAACCAGAGAGAGGAAGAUGGAUCAUCAUCUUCAUCACUCUGGGACUGACAGCAGCAGCUCUCAUCGUACUUUUAUAUUGUCUUGUAGUGAAAUG